CCGGCUUUUACAUCAUUUACGUGCUUUCUUUAUUGUAUCUGCUCUAUUUUCAUUCAAAUCAACUUUCUCUCUCUUCCUUCCGUUUUCUCUCCGGAUCUUUCAACGGAGGAAGAGGAGAUGAAAGUUUUUGGUGUAUGUUUUGAUAUUUUAUUGAUCAAAUCCUUUUGUUUGUAUAUAUUUGAUCAGUUCCGUUUGCACAUUUCUUCUUCGCUAGACGAAUUUUGGAGUGUUUUCAAAAACAAAUAGGACCGCGUUCUUCAAGUUUUCUUUUGUCCGAUUUGAUUUUUGAAAUUAAUAAAGGUUUUCUCCACCUUUCGUGGUUCUUAUAUUCGAUUCCGACGAUCCUUUGAUCAGAUACCCUGCUUACUGAAUCAACUUUACUUCUUUUCAAUAAGAUUCAGUCUUUAUCGAUUUUAGAUUAGCCUUUUUAGGCAUAAGUGAGUUAUGGUCCCUCUGAUUGUUGGGUCUCGGCUAGAGCGAAAGGUGUUAUGGAGUACAAGAAUCUGGCGAUUAAGAUGUUGCGGUGAAUUUUGGGCCGGAAUUUUCUCUACAUCAGUGAAUCAAUGGAGGCAGAGAGAAGGACGGUGGAGUUACGUGUCCCACAUAUGCAUCAAGAUACUGCCACGUCGCAACUUCUGAUUAUUAAGCUAAACGUGCUUUAAAAAAUUUGUUUUAUAUUAUGUUGUAAUGUGUUGGGCUUAAACCCUUCUAUGUACUCCACUUAGCCCAUGGGGCUUUAAUGAAAAUCAGUUGACAAAAAAAAAAAUCUACUCUAU